rnacentral:tRNA from 1 species
GGAGUGGUGGCCGAGAGGCCGAUGGCGGCGGUCUUGAAAACCGUUGGUCCGAAUAGGGCCCGGAGGUUCGAAUCCUCCCCGCUCCGCCA